UUCUCUUACUUGAUUACUGUUUAUUCGGACAAAUUGAUAUCUUUGGGUUGCUGAAAAUCAUUGUGGUUUUUCGGAGGAUUAGAAAAUUAUUUGUCACAAGUUGAGUGUGAAUGGACCAGUGCAUAUUCAUCCAUGCACAAAAUUGCUGAAUUUAGAACGUUUUUCUUACAUAAUUACAUUUGCUUGCAUUUUCCCAGGAGUUUUUUAUUUGCUAUUAUUGUAGGCCGGAUUGAUAAAAAUUUGCCCGGGACAAAAAAUUAGCCAGUCCGCCCCUGAAAAUAGACAUCUUUUUAUUUAUUUUUUUUGCACAUAGGAGCAAGCAAAUGAAACGCAACAUAUAGACCAAAUACAGAGGUGGAGGGUCAGAAGUUAUAACUUCCUGAUCGCAAAAAAGUCGGCAUAAAAUCAACUGCAGUGCUUUUAAAGAGAAGACCCUUUCUUGCGUAUUUGAAUGACGAAAGUUACAAUAUUAUGACGACAACAUUUUACUAAUAGAAAUGAGAGAAAUGAAAAAGAACUUCGCCUUACCGUUAUCCACACCCAAUGAGUUGAAAAACUGUAGCGCUUAGUAAUGUUGAUGGAAUUUUUACGAAUAAAGCGGAGUUUGAAAUCCUUAUCAUUAAUCCACAAAAAGACUGGAUCGAGCAACCUCUAUUAGGCGCCAUUACAAAGGCCACCCAAAAGUCAAAGGUCAAGCACAUUUCAUGGGAAAUCCAAAUCUGUUAGGGACAGCGAUGGCUAAUCAUGGAACACAGCGUUGCGCUUUUGGUUUUAAUAAGAGAAGAAAGCUGAAAAUAGACGCCGAAUUAUUCAGAAGUGAUGGCGAUGGAAGUUCAGAUGAAAAAUCCAAAAUAAAUAACAAAUUGCCAAGAACUUUUCACUCGUUUCAAAUUGAUUAUGGUAAAAUACAGAGAUGUACAAUGAAUGGGCCGCGAGGAGUGGAUUCAUAGCAAGAAUUCCAGAAUUUGCUCCGACCACUUCAAGGAAGAAAUGAUUGACCGAUCAGCCAAUAAUUUAUGCAGAACAUUUAAAACAGGUUUCUAAUUGAUUAUGGUAACAUACAGAGAUGUACAAUGAAUGCGCCGCGAGAACUAGAUUCAUAGCAAGAAUUUCAGAAUUUGCUCUGACCACUUCAAGGAAGAAAUCAUUGACCGAGCAGCAAAUAAUUUAAAGUUGAAAUUCAAUGCUGUACCAACGAUGUUCAAAAUUUUGCAGAACAUUUAAAACAGGUGAAUCUUGAAUUUUAUUUUACUUUGAUACUUUGUAACACUUCACUAUCUAUUAAAAUCGUGGUUCGCUCGUCUGGCUGGGGAGGACAGUGGGCUUAGCCCCUUAAAAAGCAUCAAACUGGUUGGAAAAUUUUGGAAACCUUAGUAGUUUGUUGGAUUUUCAAAGAAAAUUUUACCUUAUGCUUAAGCCACCCCUCCCUAAAAAGAAUUUACGCAAACAAUUUAUUUCACUUUUUCUGCGUCCUUGCUGACGUUUAUAAAUGAAUCAAAAAAGUUCAAAAAAAUUUAUAUAAAAAAACAACACUUUGCAUGAGGGCAAAAAUUUGAACAUCUUUUUGCUCUGAAUUUGGAAGAAUAACGCAAGUUCAAAUAACGCAAGCUAGAAAAUUCAAAAAGUGGAGUAGACUUUUAUGGGUAUUCAAUAUUUUAAAUCUAAGAUUUACUGAAACGAGAUGUGCCUAGAGGUUUAACAAAUAAAAUCAUUUUUGGAACCUCACCACAAAACAUGGUGGCAAAAAAACUUUGUUCUUUGACAUGUUGUAGUUCACUUGGAUCUAGCAGCCAUACCCCUUCAUCUUUUCUUGCCCUGAAAGACAGAGGAGGCCUAAUUAAGUAUCAGUGAGCCUCAUUCUCUCUUUAUAAAUACCCCUUCUAUCCCAGUGGUCAUAGCAAAAGAUGCCACCUUAGUAUGGUUUCACCCAGCCACAAGAAAUAACUAUAUUGGAAGUUUCAACACAAAAUCCUACCAAUUCCUUGUGCUUAUAGAGAGAAGAAAACCCCUUCUAUCCUAGUACCCAUGGCAGUUGAUGCCACCUAGGAAGUUGUACCCAGCCAUCAUAACUAAGUAGGUAAGCAUACGAGGUUAUCAACUCAGCUGGCACUGCGCAGCAGGGUGAUAUGCAGGAGGAGGAGUUUGCG